rnacentral:SRP_RNA from 1 species
GCUAUUAGAAAUGCAAUCCAGCCUAGUCCUAGCUACUUGGGAGGCUGAGGCAGGAGGAUCGCUUGAGUCCAGGAGUUCUGGGCUGCAGUGCGCUAUGCCAAUCGGGUGUCCACACUAAGUUUGGCAUCAAUAUGGUGACAUCCCGGGAGCGGGGGACCACCAGGUUGCCUAAGGAGGGGUGAACCGGCCCAGGUCAGAAAUGGAACAGGUCAAAACUCCCGUGCUGAUCAGAAAUGCAAUCCAACUCUCUCCUUGCUAAAUACUUGACAUUUGUGCUACAUUCAGAGAUAUUCAU